AGUGAGUGGGAGCUCCCACACUCCCGGAGUCACGAACAGCUGCAACAUCUUUUUGCAACGGUGGUUUUACCAAAAAAGGAAAAAUAUAAAUAAGAAGUACCAGAGUAUAAACCAAGUAAUGUCACACUUGAAUAGGAAGCGACGUGGCUGCACGGCAUCUUGCGCAUUAGCAGUGUUGUUUACAAAUUGACGCGCGAAUAACGGUCAAGGGGAAAAUAAACCUUUCUCAGAUUUGGAAUCUUGUCAAAACUGUGCCCAUGUAGUCAUUUUGCUUUUGGAAGGGAUGCAGCUGAUCCUUCACACACAUUUCUAAAGAUCCAAAGCUGACACCGCUACUAGACCAAGGGUUUUUUCUGGAUUUUUCUCCUGGACAUUUUAAAAAGCUUGUUAAUUAUCCUGUUUUGUGAGCAAAUGGGAAAGUGGGACCCGGACACCGCAGCUGAAUUGGUCACUUGUGUGGGCAUAUUUAGAGGCCAGGCAUGGAUUUAAUGAGUAUUGAGGUACGGC